CCUACGGGAGGCAGCAGUGAGGAAUAUUGGUCAAUGGCCGGAAGGCUGAACCAGCCAAGCCGCGUGAAGGACGAAGGUGCCAAGCAUUGUAAACUUCUUUUGUCAAGGGACAAAAUCAGGCUCGAGAGCCUGACCGAGGGUCCUUGAAGAAAAAGCAUCGGCUAACUCCGUGCCAGCAGCCGCGGUAAUACGGAGGAUGCGAGCGUUAUCCGGAUUUAUGGGGUUUAAAGGGUGCGUAGGCGGGCUGUUAAGUCAGCGGUAAAAGCCCGGGGCUAAACCCCGGCGAGCCGUUGAAACUGGCUGUCUUGAGAUGUCGAGAGGUAUGCGGAAUGCGCAGUGUAGCGGUGAAAUGCGUAGAUAUUGCGCAGAACUCCGAUUGCGAAGGCAGCAUACCGGCGGCGAUCUGACGCUGAGGCACGAAAGCGUGGGUAUCGAACAGGAUUAGAUACCCUGGUAGUC
rnacentral:rRNA from 1 species